rnacentral:rRNA from 1 species
AUGAACGUUGGCGGUGUGCCUAAUACAUGCAAGUCGAACGGAGAUUGUAGCAAUACGGUCUCAGUGGCGAACGGGUGAGUAACGCGUUGGUGAUCUGCCUCGAAGUGGGGAAUAACGAUUCGAAAGAAUCGCUAAUACCGCAUAGUCUCUCGGUGUUUAGAAAGCUGAGAGUAAAGGAUUUAUUCGCUUUGAGAGGAGCCUGCGUCCCAUCAGCUAGUUGGUAAGGUAAUGGCCUACCAAGGCGAUGACGGGUAGGGGACCUGAGAGGGUGGCCCGCCACAAUGGAACUGAAACACGGUCCAUACACCUACGGGUGGCAGCAGUAGGGAAUAUUAGAAAUUGACGAAAGUCUGAUCUAGCAACACCGCGUGUGCGAUGAAGGCCUUCGGGUUGUAAAGCACUUUUUGGAAUGAUUAGGAAGGAAGGUACUUCCAGAAUAAGUCUCGGCUAACUACGU